UUGUUAAUAGACAUUUUUUGUUAAUGUGUAAUCGUUAUUGUAUAAAACAUGUAUACACAUAAUCUAUUACAUAUAUCUGUAUACAAAUAUUUAGAAAUCGAGAGUUUAAAAUUAAUUAUUAUGAUAUUAAAGUGAAAUUACUUAAGUGAUGAAGAAAAGAGUUAGUAUACGGGGAUAUGUGUCCUAUGAUUUGCUGACCCCCUAUGAAAAUAUGUGAUUUUUCCGCAUAAAUGAGCAUGAAAUCGUUGAUAAAGUCACAGUGUCAUCAAGAACCAUCAGCUCUAAAAAGAAGACUCUACUCUAUGAAUAAUAUGGCUGCCGAACCUGUAAGAAAACAGCGCUACAUUUAUAUCGCACCAACACCGCCAGCCAAGAUGAUUGACUCUAGCAGUUACACUAUUGCGUUCAGCGACAGAAAAUUUUUGCAAGUGGGCCUGAAUCCAAAGGAUGACUUCAAUGUUAUGUGUCGAGUGUUAUUAAAUAACGAAAACAUUAAUAGACUUAUGGACUUACAGUGUACUAUUAACAGUGCAAUAUCAAGAAAAAUAAAAACACGUUUACUAUUAAACCAUCAAAUAGACCGCAUAAUAUAAUACGCCGACGGUAAAUGGUCGGGCCCUAAAAUUCAACAAUCAAACAAUGAUGAAAUAGUUAAUUUUAUAAGAAGUUUGAACGAUAAAGAAAUAUGUGAUACUUUUCCUAAAGGUGACAGUAAUUACAUAAGUAAGCUGAAGAAUUUAGCAUACAGUGUAAUAGUUGAUCGUUGGGUCAAGUUAUGGUCCAAAGACAUGCUUCAAAUUAAUGAAAAAGAAGAAGAAAUGUGCGAUGAAAAUGAUGGACCAACAUUUUUCAAUACAACAGUGUUUACCCAAGAAAAUAGUUAUAGUCCAUGGGCUUCACAAUGGCCGAAACCCAAUCAUAUCAGAAAAUUAACCUACAUUAGUAAUUUAUAAACAAUAACUUUAUAUA